rnacentral:rRNA from 1 species
CCUACGGGUGGCAGCAGUGAGGAAUAUUGGUCAAUGGACGAGAGUCUGAACCAGCCAAGUAGCGUGAAGGAUGACUGCCCUAUGGGUUGUAAACUUCUUUUAUAUGGGAAUAAAACAGGGUAUGCAUACCCUCUUGUAUGUAUCAUAUGAGUAAGGAUAGGCUAACUCCGCGCCAGCAGCCGCGGUAAUACGGAGGAUCCGAGUGUUAUCCGGAUUUAUUGGGUUUAAAGGGAGCGUAGGUGGAUUGUUAAGUCAGUUGUGAAAGUUUGCGGCUCAACCGUGAAAUUGCAGUUGAAACUGGCAGUCGUGAGUACAGUAGAGGUGGGCGGAAUGCGUGGUGUAGCGGUGAAAUGCUUAGAUAUCACGAAGAACUCCGAUUGCGAAGGCAGCUGACUGGACUGCAACUGACGCUGAGGCUCGAAAGUGUGGGUAUCAAACAGGAUUAGAUACCCUGGUAGUC